rnacentral:rRNA from 1 species
AGAACGAACGCUGGCGGCAUGCCUAACACAUGCAAGUCGAACGAGACCUUCGGGUCUAGUGGCGCACGGGUGCGUAACGCGUGGGAACCUGCCCUUAGGUUCGGAAUAACUCACCGAAAGGUGUGCUAAUACCGGAUAAUGUCUUCGGACCAAAGAUUUAUCGCCUUUGGAUGGGCCCGCGUUGGAUUAGCUAGUUGGUGGGGUAAAGGCCUACCAAGGCGACGAUCCAUAGCUGGUCUUAGAGGAUGAUCAGCCACACUGGGACUGAGACACGGCCCAGACUCCUACGGGAGGCAGCAGUGGGGGAAUAUUGGACAAUGGGCGAAAGCCUGAUCCAGCAAUGCCGCGUGAGUGAUGAAGGCCUUAGGGUUGUAAAGCUCUUUUACCAGGGAUGAUAAUGACAGUACCUGGAGAAUAAGCUCCGGCUAACUCCGUGCCAGCAGCCGC